rnacentral:rRNA from 1 species
AACGUAGGAGACAAACGUUAUCCGGAGUUACUGGGCGUAAAGGGCGUGUAGGUGGUUGUGUAAGUUCGGCGUGAAAUCUCUCGGCUUAACCGGGAGUGGUCGUCGGAUACUGCACGGCUAGAGGACGGUAGAGGCGUGUGGAAUUCCGGGUGUAGUGGUGAAAUGCGUAGAGAUCCGGAGGAACACCAGUGGCGAAGGCGACACGCUGGGCCGUACCUGACACUGAGGCGCGAUAGCAUGGGGAGCAAACAGG